rnacentral:rRNA from 1 species
GAUGAACGCUGGCGGCGUGCCUAAUACAUGCAAGUCGAACGAAACUUCUUUAUCACCGAGUGCUUGCACUCACCGAUAAAGAGUUGAGUGGCGAACGGGUGAGUAACACGUGGGCAACCUGCCCAAAAGAGGGGGAUAACACUUGGAAACAGGUGCUAAUACCGCAUAACCAUAGUUACCGCAUGGUAACUAUGUAAAAGGUGGCUAUACUACCGCUUUUGGAUGGGCCCGCGGCGCAUUAGCUAGUUGGUAGGGUAAAGGCUUACCAAGGCAAUGAUGCGUAGCCGAAGUGAGAGGUUGAUCGGCCACAUUGGGACUGAGACACGGCCCAAACUCCUACGGGAGGCAGCAGUAGGGAAUCUUCCACAAUGGGCGAAAGCCUGAUGGAGCAACGCCGCGUGGGUGAAGAAGGUCUUCGGAUCGUAAAACCCUGUUGUUAGAGAAGAAAGUGCGUGAGAGUAACUGUUCACGUUUCGACGGUAUCUAACCAGAAAGCCACGGCUAACUACGU